rnacentral:rRNA from 1 species
AGCGUUGUCCGGAAUCAUUGGGCGUAAAGCGCGCGUAGGCGGCCCGGUAAGUCCGCUCUGAAAGUCCAGGGCUCAACCCUGGAAUGCGGGUGGAUACUGCCGGGCUAGAAUCCGGAAGAGGCGAGUGGAAUUCCUGGUGUAGCGGUGAAAUGCGUAGAGAUCAGGAAGAACAUCGGUGGCGAAGGCGCUCUGCUGGACCAUAACUGACACUCAGGGACGAAAGCUAGGGGAGCGAAUGGG